GAGUUUGAUCCUAGGCUCAGAAACGAACGCUGGCGGCAUGCCUUAUACAUGCAAGUCGAACGAGAAAGUCACUUCGGUGGCGAGUACAGUGGCGCACGGGUGAGUAACGCGUAGAUGAUCUACCCUUCAGUCUGGGACAACUCUUGGAAACGGGAGCUAAUACCGGAUAAAACCUUCGGGUUGAAAGAUUUAUCGCUGGGGGAUGAGUCUGCGUACCAUUAGCUUGUUGGUGGGGUAACGGCCUACCAAGGCGACGAUGGUUAGCGGGUCUGAGAGGACGAUCCGCCACACUGGAACUGAGACACGGUCCAGACUCCUACGGGAGGCAGCAGUAGGGAAUAUUGCGCAAUGGGGGCAACCCUGACGCAGCAAUGCCGCGUGAGUGAAGAAGGCCUUCGGGUCGUAAAGCUCUUUUAUGGGGGAAGAUGAUGACGGUACCCCAUGAAUAAGCACCGGCUAACUACGUGCCAGCAGCCGCGGUAAUACGUAGGGUGCGAGCGUUGUUCGGAAUUACUGGGCGUAAAGGGCGUGCAGGCGGAUUGGCAAGCCGGAGGUGAAAGCCCGGGGCUCAACCCCGGAGGGUCUUUCGGAACUGCCAGUCUUGAGAGGGU
rnacentral:rRNA from 1 species